AGUCCGACAUUCGAGUUUUAUGUCAAAACUAAAAAUAAACUUUACUUUGCACACGACAAUAUUGUCACAAUUCUCAAAUUUCUUUACAAUUCUCUUUACGACUCUCUAUAAAUCACAAAAAUUCCAAAAAUAUUUCUUUAUAUAUUUUGAUUAUUUUCAUCAGUAAAACAAUGUAUUCAAAGAUUAUGCUGCAUGUUUUACACAAAUUUCGUUUCUCCAAUUUGGUCUCGCAAUUGCGCAAAAGCUCUUGGAUGGAGUUGCCUCGUUUCCUGCGUCGCAGUAGAUUAGCUGGAGUUGCCUCAGUUUCUGAAUCAUAGUAGCUCUCAGCUAUAUCUAUAGCUAAUGGUGCUCUGGGUUAUAUCGGGGGGCAUGGAGACAAGGCUGCAUAUAGUUUCUGUCGAUGCACUAUCGGCAUCGAUGUGCUCUUAUUCUGUCUAUGUGGUACGUUUGAAGUUGGCUCAGUCCGAGUAGACCUGAGCAUCCAUCCUCACUGAUUGACCCGUCUGUAUGGACUUAUCCGUGUCAUAAUGUAGAUUUAUCUUGGCCUGAGUCCAUUUCAGCAACAAAACAGGCUGGCGACAAUUCUGCCUAUAGUCCCUUCUUCCAGACUACUUCCUGUCGAACUUCCUGUAUCCUCUUGGACCACCAGACCUAGGAUCCACCUCAACAAUGGCUUUGGUGCGAAUUGUACUGCUUGAAGAAGUAGCAUCCUGCCAGUUCCUUGAGCAAGUCGGUCGUUGCAUCUUAUAUAACUCGGCCUGGUCUUCGGGUUCUAUAGGCACCAUAUAACCCAUUACAGGCCUUCGAUUAAGGAAAUAGAUCGAUGACUUUUUUUUUUCGAGUGAAGCAUUUUAAUCAAAAAUCGCGUUUGAAUUGUCGAAAAAUUUGAUACAAACAAUUUUGUCACUUUGAUUCGUCUUUAAAAUUGGAAAUAAUAUAAAUUAUAAUAAAGUAAAAUUAUUA